GAUGAAGAACGUAGUGAAAUGCGAUAAGUAGUGUGAAUUGCAGAAUUCAGUGAAUCAUCGAAUCUUUGAACGCACAUUGCGCCCCUUGGUAUUCCAUGGGGCAUGCCUGUUCGAGCGUCAUUUGUACCCUCAAGCUAAGCUUGGUGUUGGGUGUUUGUCCACUCCCUCGUGUUUGGACUCGCCUUAAAACAAUUGGCAGCCAGUGUUUUGGUAUUGAAGCGCAGCACAAUUUGCGAUUCUAGCCUAGAAUACUAGCAUCCAUCAAGUCAUUUUUAACGCUUGACCUCGGAUCAGGUAGGGAUACCCGCUGAACUUAAGCAUAUCAAUAAGCGGAGGA
rnacentral:misc_RNA from 1 species